AUGGCUCCUACCGAGGCUGUGGCUGAUGUAGAGGAGGGAGAAGAGCAAAAGAAGAAGGAAAGAAAAGCAGCCGGAGCUACUUUCACGUGGAUUCAAAGGAACUUUGCACAUUGCCCUGAGGAUGCCACUAAUGAUGUGAUACAGACACAUGCUCAUGUCUAUAUGUGGUACGUUGUCUCGAGGACUUUGUUUCCUGACUCCAUAGGCAAGAACGCUCCAUGGAUGUGGCUGAAGGCAUUGACCGUCUUCAAUAGCGGAUGGAGCUGGGGUUCAGCGACUCCUGCCUACUUGUACCCACAGGUAGUUGUUUUGUUUUGUUAUCAAGUCAUUUCUUCAUUAGCAAUGCAACCUUGCUGUCAAGUUAACAUUGUUUUAUUUCAUAUGCAGCUGGACGAUGCGUGUUGCAGGUGUUGGAAAUAUGCCCUAGAGGCAAUAAUAAAAGGAUUAUUAUUAUAUUUCCUUGUUCAUGACAAUUGUCUUUUAUUCAUGCUAUAA
rnacentral:rRNA from 1 species